UCGCCUGCAUGAAGCUGGAAUUGCUAGUAAUCGCGGAUCAGCAAGCCGCGGUGAAUACGUUCCCGGGCCUUGUACACACCGCCCGUCACACCAUGAGAGUCGGGAACACCCGAAGUCCGUAGUCUAACCGCAAGGGGGCGCGGCCGAAGGUGGGUCCGGUAAUUGGGGUGAAGUCGUAACAAGGUACC
rnacentral:rRNA from 1 species